UAGGGAAUAUUGGUCAAUGGGCGCAAGCCUGAACCAGCCAUGCCGCGUGCAGGAUGAAGGCCCUCAGGGUCGUAAACUGCUUUUGUACGGGAACAAAAAGCUCCUGCGGGGGCCAUUGAGGGUACCGUAAGAAUAAGCACCGGCUAACUCCGUGCCAGCAGCCGCGGUAAUACGGAGGGUGCAAGCGUUAUCCGGAUUUACUGGGUUUAAAGGGUGCGUAGGCGGCUUUUUAAGUCAGUGGCGAAAGCCUGGCGCUUAACGUCAGAAUUGCCAUUGAUACUGGAGAGCUUGAGUCAAGAAGAGGUAGGCAGAAUUCAUGGUGUAGCGGUGAAAUGCAUAGAUACCAUGAGGAAUUCCAAUAGCGAAGGCAGCUUACUGGUCUUUGACUGACGCUGAGGCA
rnacentral:rRNA from 1 species